UCAAGGCUUGGUCACAGCAGUGACAGCCCAGCUCAACUCUACAAAAUGUGGAGCCUUAGCAGAGCGGCGGGGGGAGGUCUGGGGCCCACCAGGAAAAGAGGCUUGGAGGGGGCACCUGGAGCAUCGCGACUACUUUUGCUGGGCUUGAGAGCUUGAGAUUGUGCCAAGUGCAUGCUCAGCUGGUUAUGGAACAGUUACAACGUGCUAACGGAACUUUCCCACCGGGGAGGGAAAGCCUUCCUGAAGACAGGCCUCUGGGUGGGGCCCAGCCAGAAGUGCCUCUGGCUGCCGACCCCUGGGCUGGGCCUGGGCCAGGGACACAGAGCUUUCCCCAGGGCUCAGGCCCCUCCUUGCCCCCUCUACCCCCCUCACUCUCUCACAGGCAAGGCCAGGGUUCCGGAAUCCUUAGAUUCCUAACGCAAGAGCAGCCUCCCACAGAUGCGUGGCCCUUGGCCAUCUGGAGGACAGAUUUUGAAGGGGCCACCAGCAGGCUUGGUCGUGGUUGUCUCGGAGGACUUGGGUUUCCUUUACUUUAGUUCCUGUCCCCUGUGCCAGCUCGGAUCUCUGGGUGCCCAGGGAAGAAGUGGAAAGCACUGCACCCCAAACAUAAGCUGCUGACUGUGUGGAGGGGCUAGCCUCUGGCGGCACCCUCAGUUCCAGGGUGCUUUGAGGGACCCAGUCUGGGUGAGCAAGGAGAGGCCCCUGGAGCCCAGGGGAGGAUGUUCAGAGAGUCACUCUCAUUCUGCCUCUGCACUGAAGCACAGGAAGUGAGGAAGGGGGACAGGAGCCUGUGGGUGAGGAAAGGGGGACAGGCCCAUGGCCGGGGAGGCGGCAUGGAAGUGAAGGAGCCCUCUGUGUGUACCAGAGCUGUCUCACAUGCCCCCCAUGAGGUAGGUCACAUUCCCCCCGUGUGGGGGCAUUUGUGCCCAUUUCACGGACAAAGAAACAGAGGCAUCUGAGCUGAACUAGCAAAGCCUCAAAGUGAAGCCAUGCCUUGACCUCAGGUCUUGCUGGUUUCGGAGCCCACACUCAUUCUUUCGGUACAAAGCCUCACUGUGUCCCUGUAGAGAUCUGGAGGGCCAGUUGCCAGGUCCUGUUCGUGUGGGCUGCAAGUUGCUUGGUGUCUCAGAAGCUCGGUUUCCUCCUCCAGAAAGGGAAAUGAGCAGGACUGUGCACCUUCCACUGCACCCUGGAUGUGCAGUGGGUUGGGCAGCCUAGCAGAUAGCUGGCCUGUAGAGGCCGAAGAUGCAAGCCCCAAAUGUGGCCAUGCUGUGACUCCCGGGAGCUGGAGUAGCUGCUUUCUGAUGGAUCAGGCUGUCCAGGCCCCCUGUCUCCCAGCGCAAUUCCCAGACACAUGUGUACCAGCUCUCUGUGAUACUGGGUGCCAUUCUGGGUGCCAGCUCUGUCCCACUAAUCUUUUUCUAGGUAAUAAAUGACCCGAAGCUAGGUGGCCUCAAACAGCCCCUGUUUCAUCACUGUGAAGUUUCUUAGGUCGGAAACUCGGGCACGGUUUGACUAUACGACUCUUCUCCGCGUCCACAGGGCACGUAUCAGUGGUGUUCAGCUGGUGGAUGGAUGGUUCUAGGGGCUUUACUUUUGUAGCUGGAACCCAGGCAGAAACAGCUGGUGGGCUAGGCUUGCCCGGUCCUGUCCACCACUAGGGCCUUUCCAACAUCCAGCUCAGGGGAGCGGGGCGCCUCACACCGUGACCCAGGGCCCCAACAGUAAGCUCUGGCGAACAAGAGCUUCUUCUGCAGGGCCUCUUAGGAGCCAGCCUUGGAGUUGCCCCUAAGGCUCUUUGGUCAUCCUGCCUUGGCUGCCGCAGUCACAGUCACCCUGAUUCAAGGGAAAAAGACAUUGACUCCUCCUUUCAUUGGAAGGAGUGUCAAAAACUGAGCCUAUGUUUCAAAAGCAUCAUAACUGAGCUGGGGGUGUAGCUCAGUGGUAGAGCAUGUGCUUAGCACGCACAAAGCCUUGGUCUCCAUCCCCAGCAGUGAACAAGCACGUACAUAAAUAAAUAAAAUGGAUGCAUCAGCGUCAUAAUGGACCAUCGCAGCACCCGUAGCCCUCCAGUCCCAUGCCUUCCUCCCUGUCUCCUCUGCAGACAGCCGCACUCCCACAAGUCAGGCGGUCAACUUUUACCUCCCCUCUCAGCAACGAUCUGAAACAUUCAUUCAUUGAAAGUGUCAGGGUCUUCACAAGUUACUCCCUGGAGGGGCAUUUUCACUUUAAAAUGGUGGCCCCAGAAUGCGGUGGCACAACCAAAGGAAUGCAUUGCUAAUGGUGGAAUUCCAGGCAUUUACCACAGGCCAGUAGGGGAUAUAUUUUUCGGCCAAGGGACUUUCCUGCUGAAGAAAGCUGGCGGUUCAGUCCACCCUGAACCCAUGAACAGUGUGAACUGGCCGCCGAGCUCUACAAGCAGCCUGGACAGCAUUUUCCGCACCGCAUGGGGGCUCCCCAAGCCUCACUGAGAAUCAGCACUCAGACUGGGUCCCAGGAACGAUUCCCCAACCCUACAGGACUGACCCAUCAGAGGCGCUGCCAUCUCUGCCACACACAGGAAGCCAUCCUGGGAGCAGCUGUGUUUGAAAGCCCACUGCUGAAGCUGUGAGCCUAGAAGGAGGAGGUAGCUCUGCAGCUGCAGCUGCUGUGUCCGGACACGGACAACGCUGGGAGCCCGAGAAUGAAGCCAGCAACAGAAGACAGCCAGAGCCGGGAGGAAAGAAAGGAAGAAACUGAGUCUGGAUGACACAGUUGAAGUCCUGAAUACAGCAAAGCCUUUGGCUGCCACGCGCAUCCCCAAACUGGACUGGCAAUAUCCCAGGGGCACAGGCAGGGGCUGUGCCUGUCGUUUCCUGCGACUCACUGCAGGUGGUGAGUUAGGACGAAAGCAACCCUCAGCUGGAAUUUGACCAGCCAUCUGAUCAUUUGGUAGGAAGCAGAUACAAGGAAGGUGAUGUAAUCUGUUUCCGUAGACUUGGAAACAUCCCCACUCUAUCUUCAGGCCCUCUGAUAGGCAUUUUGCAUGCAGUAUUCGCUCAAGACAGGUGCAAUGAUAUUCUCUUGGCAGAAGCUGCCAAAUUUCUGGGUGGAUGAGGCAGCAUGGUCCUCUGAAAACAGGGAGGUGACAGAGGACCCAAUGGAACUCCAAAUUAGAAUACUGCUCAGGAGAUGCCAGGAGGCUGCACUGGCCUUGUCACUGCCAAGGCGUGGAGCCCACUGUCUUAAACUAUGUAUCUGAGUAUUUCGAAGAUCACUAUGCUAAUUAAGGCAUCCUCUGGGGUCAACUUAGAUAUGGAUAUUUGACGUGGACUAUGGAUUCUGUAUCAGUCACUUUCCUAUCACUGGAAUGAAAUGCCCAAUACCUGCAGUUUAGGGAAGAGAGGCUUAUAUUGACUCAUAGUUUCGGAGGUUUUCAGUCCAGGGUAGGCUGGCUCCAAGGCAGAACCAUCAUGGCGGAAGGGUGUGGCAGAGCACAGAUGCUUAGCUCAUGGCAGCCAGGAAACAGCAGAGGAACAAUGCCACGGAGGAAGGGGCCAGAUAUAGUAUUCAAGGUGAUGCCUUCGUGAUGCACCCAGACACACCCAGCAGUGUGCGCCACCCAUCCCCUGGGUGGCUGCCAGACUGGUCAAGGGAGAUACAAUUAAGCUUAACUAUCACAGAUUCCUAUUAGGGUUUUUCAAAUGCUAACUAACCACCCAAAGUAAGUAUACUUACACACACACACACACACACACACACACACACACACUUUGUACACAUAGAAAUGUUUUAGAGUGAAUUAUCAUAUAGAUAAUACAGUACCAUUCAGGUGGGAUUAGACAUCACAUACAGCCCUUCUUUGGUUUCACAGGGAAGGAAAAGAAGGAACUAACAGUGACAUCUCUGGGCUGAUCAAGGGAAGUUCUGUGAUGCACAGGGGCUUAGGGAUCUCAGAGGACCACGGAGAGGCCCCAAGCUGUCUCAGAACCCUCUGACUCAUAAAGAAAAGUAUGCGCUGAUGCCUAUGUGCACUUGGGGUGUGAAGAUGAGGAGAGGUGGCAGCUUUUAUGAGAUUUUGAAAGGGUCCUGAGGCCCCCAGACGUGAGGAAGCCCUGAACCAUGCAUGGCUGGGGAAAGAAGGUACAAAGAGGCCCUGCUCAGCAACAGCCUUGGGAAGACUCGGCCAUUGCCCACCGGGGCAGCUCUAGGGUGCCCGCACUUGUGCUCCACAAAGAAGCCUUCCGCACAAUCACGCGGAGUCUGAGGCGAGUUAAAGGCUGAGCACUUCAGAAGCAGCAGUGUUUAUUUUAUUUAAAACAUGUUCAGUUAUGAUAAAAACAGAAGUAAAGCUUACCAUUUCAACCCUUUUCCAGUGUACAGUUCAAUAAUGUUAAGUAUAUUCACAUCACAGUGAAGUAAAUCUCUAGAACUUUUUCAUCUUGCAAAACUGAAACUCUGUACCCAGCAAACACUAAUCCCCCAUUGUCCUUCCUCCUCCAUCCCUGGAAACCACUGUUCCUCUCGUUUCUGAGAAUUUGACUACUAUGAAUUCUUCAUAGAAGAGGAACCAGGCAGUGCCUGGUUUACUGCACUGAGCACAAGGCCCUCAAACGUUACCUGAGGUGUUGUGUGUGACAGGAUUUCCCUUGUUUUUAAGGCUGAAUAGUAUUCCAUUCUAUGUAUUGUCCACCUAAAUUGAGCGACAGACAGAUGACUGUCUGAAGCAGAGUGCCUUGGGGAAUGACAGGGAAUUGUAAUCCACGCUGUGGUGGGCGACAGGGACAGCCGGUGAGUGGAGCAGAGGCGAAGCUUUGAAAGAUGAAAAGGACAACAUAUACUAGAUACUGUGAAACAGGAAGAAAAUACUGGAUU